GAGAGAGAGAGGUUGCUGUCAACAAAUCUAACUUUCCCAACCAAUUUCUUUCUAGAUUAUUCUGCCAUUGCUCUGUCAUCAAUUCCAUGUGAUUAUUUCUCCAGCUGUGCAGCAAGUCCACGUGGUUUCCUUCUUGCCAAUAUUUCAGCUGCGCCAUCUUCGACCCUGCUUCCUUCCAGUGUUCCAGCUUAGCUAUCUUCUAACUUUAAUAAUUCCAGGGAAUGUUCACAUUACUCGACGGUAUUGUAUAGGAGAACAUAUAAGAUUUUGACUUGUUUUUGUUCCUUAUUAUAUCCCGUUUGUUGGAACGACAAUUUGAGACCUAGUCUCCGAGGUUGUCAUCAGUCGUCCGAUUGUGAUACUACUACUAAGGUUACAAAACUUGGAAUGGGGCCACCUAGUCGAGGCAGCUAGAGCAGGGGCCAUAUCCCGAACCAGAUGACCCUGCCACGAAAAUUGCAGCUCGGAAAAGGGAUUCAAUUUGUAACUUAGACACUAGCGGUGACAUGGAUUGUAGUGAGCUUCAGCUGACAUUGCUUAUAUGUAAUCUAUAUUUAUGUUAAUCCAAAGUUGAUCCGAUUUGAUGGCUGUCUAAGGAACCAAGAAAAUGAAGAAAAGUGUGUUAAAUUUUUGUGCGUGUAACACAUAUUUAAUCAAAGUAAAUUCUCUUCAAGAUUAAAAUUUUAGAGGGUACGUUGUUUCCAAAUAAGAAAAGAGGACGAUGAUAUAUGUUAUUAAAUAUUAUCUUUUUAAAAAAAAUAAAAAUAAUAAGUGGCGUGUUGUUGUCUAUCGAAUUUCUUGUGCAACCUUGAUAAGAGUUGUAAAGUUUUGAGCAUGAGAUGAGUCAGAUUGGAACCGAAGGGAUAAGGAACAACUAAGCAAGUGGAGUAAUGCAAAAAUAGCAUAUUC
rnacentral:lncRNA from 1 species